CCUACGGGUGGCAGCAGUGGGGAAUAUUGUACAAUGGGGGAAACCCUGAUGCAGCAACGCCGCGUGAGUGAUGACGGCCUUCGGGUUGUAAAGCUCUGUCUUCAGGGACGUUAAUUACGGUACCUGAGGAGGAAGCCACGGCUAACUACGUGCCAGCAGCCGCGGUAAUACGUAGGUGGCGAGGGUUGUCCGAAUGUACUGGGCGUAAAGGGGGCGUAGGCGGGCUUUAAAUGGAUUGGGGAAAUAUUCGGGCUCAACUUGAGUGCUGAAUUUCAAACUGGAAGUCUAGAGUGCAGGAUGGGAGAAUGAAUUCCUAGUGUAGCGGUGAAAUGCGUAGAGAUUAGGAAGAACACCAGUGGCGAAGGCGAUUCUCUGGACUGUAACUGACGCUGAGGCUCGAAAGCGUGGGGAGCAAACAGGAUUAGAUACCCGAGUAGUC
rnacentral:rRNA from 1 species